CGUAGGUGGUAGUGCAAGUCUGAGGUGGAAUCCCAGGGCUUAACCCUGGAACUGCCUUGGAAACUGCACUACUUGAGUCAGUGAGGGGAGGGUAGAAUUCCUGGUGUAGCGGUGAAAUGCGUAGAUAUCAGGAGGAAGGCCGGUGGCGAAGGCGGCCCUCUGGCGCUGAACUGACACUGAGGCGCGAAAGCGUGGGUAGCAAACAGGAUUAGAUACCCUGGUAGUCCACGCCCUAAACGGUGGGUACUAGGUGUAGGGCUCGUAAGGGUUCUGUGCCGAAGCGAAAGCAUUAAGUACCCCGCCUGGGGAGUACGGCCGCAAGGUUGAA
rnacentral:rRNA from 1 species